AACGCACAUUGCGCCCGCCAGCAUCCUGGCGGGCAUGCCUGUUCGAGCGUCAUUUCCACCCUCAGGCCCUGCCUGGUGUUGGGGGCCUGCACCUGCAGCCCCUGAAAGACAGCGGCGGUCCCGGCCCCGGCCCCGAGCGUAGUACCACACCUCGCUCCGGGCGCCGGGCGGGCCCCAGCCGUAAGCCUAUUCUUCACAAGGUUGACCUCGGAUCAGGUAGGAAUACCCGCUGAACUUAA
rnacentral:misc_RNA from 1 species